AGCUCCACGCCAGCAGAACCGACAUUGACCUUAACCUCUAAAGAUGAGGUGAUAGUCGGUUAAACUCCGUUCUUUGGCUCCCCUGCCAUUCCAAGCACAUGCAGAGAUCCGAUGCUCUUUGUGAUCACUAUCAAGGACUGAGCAUACUACUAAUACUACAUCCCACCUGACAUGGCCGAUAUUAUGGGGAAACAAAUUCCUGGUGGCUGACGCUAACGCUCUACAAGUUGGUACAUAACUCUUAGUGUGGUUAGAGUUGACCUGACCAAUGAAUCCCACCCAAUUGCGGGCGCUGGUACGACCUCCUGCCCUGCUUGCACACUUGAGAGAUCCAAGAAUAGCAGAGGAUUGCGACGCCACAGAAGUCACGCCCACCGAAGAUGUCAUGGGACCACUUAACUCAGACCUAGGAGAGGUGUGGCUAGGAUAUUGGCCUCAUGUGACAUAGUCUCCCAGGAUGACAGAUAAAGGUGUAGUUCCUUGAUGUAACUGGAGAUUUUGAUGAAGUUUUUUAUUCUGUCACGCUGUAUAUCCAUUUUACUA